AGAGGGGUGUCCGAGUGGUUGAAGGAGCACGCCUGGAACGCGUGUAAGGGCUAACCGCCCUUCGUGGGUUCGAAUCCCAUCCCCUCUGCCA
rnacentral:tRNA from 1 species